rnacentral:lncRNA from 1 species
GCAUUAUAGGCUUAGUCAUCUGGAUAAGAACAGGAUAAACAGGUUAGCUUGAGAGAAAAACCUCAACAUCAAUGAUUGUGAAUCAUUGAUAGCCUGUGAGUCUUAUCUUCUUGGAAAGAUGACAAAGUCACCUUUUAAUGAAAAAGGUGAAGGAGCUGAUAAAGUUCUAAGUCUCAUAUAUAGUGAUGUAUGUAGACCUGUGAACUUAAGUGC